rnacentral:lncRNA from 1 species
UUCUUUUUCUCUCUCUCUCUUUGUUCUCUCUCUUUUCUGUAUCUCUUUUCUUCUUCCUCUGUUCCAAAAUCACAAAACUGAAAUCAUGAGAAGAGAGAGAAACAAAACCAAGUCCGGGUAUGAGUUUCCCUCGUUUCUCUAUCUCAUUUGUUCUUCACAUCUCUCCCUCUCCUUCAAAAUCAAUAGAGGAGAGAGAAACAACCAAGUCUUUAGAGAGGGAAAGACCAGUAUAAAGUAUCAAAACCCUUCGAUCUGCGAAUUUAUCCCUCAUCAAAUACGGGUAUGAGUUUCUCUUUUCUAUCUAUGUUAAUCUAUGUAUGAUAGUAUGUCCAGAUAUAUAAAUUAUGUAUACAUGUGUUUGAAUUUUAGGUUUUUAAGAAAUAAAAUGAAUUGGGACAGAAAAGUCUCUGUUUUUAGGAUAUUUGUUAUAGUUUAGAUAUUUGUUAUAGUUUAGGCAUUUGUUGUGAUUGUUGAGUGAUUAAUUGGUGUUAGUUUUGUUCCUUACUUAAUUUGUUUUUAGGAUAUUUCUUUAUUAAAUAAUCAGCUUGAAGCUCCUGAUCACUAUCAAGACUAUCAAGAGAGAUAGAACCUCCAACCCCUUUUGAUUUCUCAACUCCACUGCUCUCUUCAGUAGGUCUUAAGCAAUUUAAAUUGAUAGCCUCAGGAGAUGCCUUGUCAUCUGGUUUCUGAUUUUGCACUAGGCCAGAGAUACAUGGCAUAUUGGCGUCUUCAAUUUUUACUGCAUGAUUUGUUUCCUUCGAUACUUCAUUAAUACUUUUUUCUUUGAUCCUGACUAAAUAAGUUCCUGAUUCUGAACUGGAAAUAAUCAAAGAAACCAAUUUAUCAUCAACCAAUAUUGAUGCUGAAUCUGGGCGAGGCAUAGGGUCUAAAAAUGCGACAGAGGUUAGCAUAUCAUGUGAUGAAAGGAUGGACUCUGGUGUAAUCAGUUUAUGGUGGUUCUCCAGAUUACAAGUGUUUGGCAUCAAUUUUAAGGAAUGACCAUUAGAAUAUCCUUGGACAGAAGAACCAUCUACUCCACCCACUUUCGAUGAGGAUUCGACCCAAGGAUUCUCAUUAUCAAGCCCAACUCGAUCAUUGUUUCUCUCUCCUCUAUUGAUUUUGAAGGAGAGGGAGAGAUGUGAAGAAGCCACUAGGUAUCAGAAAGAAAAUUGGAGGCAAUUCGUGAUUUCAGUUUUGUGAUUUUUGUAACAGAGAGAGAAGAAAGAGAGAGAAAAAGAAGGUUAGAAAAUAAUAAAAAAAUUUAUUAAAUUUUAUUUUGCCACGUGUCAGUUGCUAUUAAGGUCCGUUUGUCCGGUUGGAAAAUUUUUAACGAGAGGGGCACAGUUGACUUAAAAUUUAUAACCUUAAAGGCAUUUUUAAAAAAAAAAUUAGUUUAGGGUGUAAGUGGGAUUUCGGGGUAAACAUCAGGGGUAUUUUUGGACCUUUGCCCCAUUAAUAUUUAUCUCUUAAAAUAAGGACUCCUAAUUAUAUUAGUAUUGUAAAUAUAUAUGAUGAAAUAUCAUAUUUUUGUAAUUAUUUUAUGAGUAUGAUUUUUGUAAUUACUUUCAUAAAUGUACUAUAAUAUAAUAUGUAAUUGUUCCAAAAAGAAAAGGCUCUUGGAGUUCAAAUACCCGCUAAUAAGUUCAUCCUAUUCUUUCCAAAGCCCAAUACUGUUCUGUUUUCACUUUUCAUUAUUUACUACAACCGUAAUGACGUGUGAGGAUGGAGCCUUUGGGCCUAGCUAGUGUUGACCAGGAGUUUGGUGUUUGGACCAUUUUAUGGCCCACUUUAACCCAUUCUAGUUAACCCAAAUUUCUUUUAAAAAAGAAAUCUAGUCAAUCCUAGUAAUUAACCAACUAAGCAUAGUCUUUUGAAUAUAUAUUGAAAUUGAGCUACUUUUAAUGAAUAUAGAAAAACGUCAAUUCUAAUUCCACACAAGUACUCAUCCUUGAGGUAAUGUCACGAUUUUGGGGCCCACUUGAUCAAGACUUAAGCCCACUGGAUUGGGGCUGGCCCAAAUCUCCUAAGUUUAAAGUCGUGUGUAUCAUAAGAAAUAACAUUAACUGCCCGAGGAUACUUUUACUGUUUAAACCAAAAAAAAAAGGAAAAAAUAUAACUAUAACUUGUACCAGAAGAGAAAUAAAAUAAACUUUGGAUUUCAAUACACUUGUCAAAUUAUAUUGGUAGGUCGUAUAUAAUAA